AACGCACCUUGCGCCUCUUGGUAUUCCGAGGGGCACGCCUGUUUGAGUAUCGUGAAAUCAUCAACCCGAUCCCUUUUGUGAAAACGAAGGGAGAGGGCUUGGACUUGGAGGAUUUGCCGGUCUCCCCCCUUUGUGUUUGGGAUCGGCUCCUCUGGAAUGCAUUAGUGGAGCUUUCGACCGCCCUCGGUGUGAUAAUCGUCUGCGCCGACGUGUGGAAAGAGUUAAAGCGUUGCUUCGAACGGUCUCGUCCCGAGACAAGCUUUUUGAACCCAUCGAUCUCAAAUCAGGCGGGACUACCCGCUGAACUUAA
rnacentral:misc_RNA from 1 species